rnacentral:lncRNA from 1 species
GUUCGUCAAUCAGCUCGGCUCAUCCUCAGCCUCUCACGCUGGCUGUCGCUCCUCUUUGACGGGAGAGGAAGAGGAAGGGAAGAGGAAGAGGAGCUUCAAGGGCACGGGGAGGGGCAGGGCCAGCCGAGCUGGGCCUCCAGAGCCCCUGCUCCUUUCACGCCAGAGAGCUGUCCCCGGCCGGCCCGUGUCCCAGAGAAUCAACGCCAGGGAGGCAGGAAUCCACCAGGGGCGGGAGCUCCUGGCACUCAGGGCCUGGAGAAAGGCUUUGUAAACAGAGAGGGAGAAGAAGAAAAAAAGAGCCAAAAGGAAAAAAUAAAUUCUGGAAUCAGACGAUACACUCAGUUAUUCAUUCAGCAACAUCGAGUGAGGCCUGCUGUGUGCCAAGAACAAUGGGGUCGUGGUGAAGAUGACAGCGAGCCAAAGCAUGUGGAGUGCUGCGACGCCCCUGCCGGCAGUAGGUGCUGUGGAUUGUUGCUAUGAUUGGGGUGGGGGCGGACAGGAAGCCUGCAGAGGGGAGCAAUCCGUCACCUGUAGGAGCUCCGACUGUGGACAGGCGCCAGCAAACUGAGCAGAGGCGGAAAGACCGGGCUCCUGCCUGCGGGGAGCCAACAGCAUCCAGUUGUUGCUAAGAACUUGGAAUCCGAGAGACCUGGGUUCCAAUCUCAUCUCAUCUGUGUGACCUUGGACAAGUUAUUUGUCCUCGUUGAGCUCCACUGUUCUCAUCUAUAAAAUGGGCGUAAAGACAGCACAUUCGUUUCAGGGACGCGGGAGGCCUGACUGAGAUGAUCCUUGUAAAUAGCCGAG